AACGAACGCUGGCGGCAUGCCUAACACAUGCAAGUCGAACGAGAUCCUUCGGGGUCUAGUGGCGCACGGGUGCGUAACGCGUGGGAAUCUGCCCUUAGGUUCGGAAUAACAGUUAGAAAUGACUGCUAAUACCGGAUGAUGACGUUAAGUCCAAAGAUUUAUCGCCUGAGGAUGAGCCCGCGUAGGAUUAGCUAGUUGGUGUGGUAAAGGCGCACCAAGGCGUCGAUCCUUAGCUGGUCUGAGAGGAUGAUCAGCCACACUGGGACUGAGACACGGCCCAGACUCCUACGGGAGGCAGCAGUGGGGAAUAUUGGACAAUGGGCGCAAGCCUGAUCCAGCAAUGCCGCGUGAGUGAUGAAGGCCUUAGGGUUGUAAAGCUCUUUUACCCGGGAUGAUAAUGACAGUACCGGGAGAAUAAGCCCCGGCUAACUCCGUG
rnacentral:rRNA from 1 species